GUUGCAUUGGGGUUGUGGUUUCUAUGAAAUUUUCAAUUGAGUUAUUGUUUACUAGUUUAAAUUCAAUGUGUACACAUGGGCAUAUAUUGCAAUCCCAAUUUCUUGGCUCUUUGUUCGUCAACUCGGAUAACUUUAACAUUUCCAAGAAUUGAAAGAAAGCCCUGGAACAUACGGGGUAAUAGAUAUGAAUAGUAUUUGCAGGAUUCUAAACCAAUCUCUGUGCCUCACUAGUAGGGUGUACAAGAAACUCAAUGAAGUCGUUGAACUCGUGCUAAUCCGACCCAGUAUUUAUAGUUUUCAUUCAAGUUAACCCGAUAAUUUUCGGUCUGAUUUCAGUUAUGAAUAUGUGAAACCAGUGAAAAUCCGAACCGAUUCUUAUAUAUAAUUCAUAUAAAUCACACUCUGUCGUUUCAUCAACCUAAAAAUUGCUGACCUGAGAAAAGCUACUUUGGCCUAUGUUUUCAGUAGUUCUUCCAUUUGAAAUAAGGAACCUCAUUAAAAAAAAAAAGAGAGAGAUUUCCUUUUUGCUAAAGAUUGCCUCAUUUUAUAUGUAUGCAUGUUCUUCCUUUCUCAAUACUAGGUAAUGAGGAAAAAAAAAGGAAAGAAGGAAGACAGCUACAUCAAAAGAAACAGAUCAAGCGCAUGUACUGGGCAAGGAAAAAAAAAAAAUAAUAAAAGAGCAAAGUGGAAUCUUGAAGGCAAUCAACACACAACCUAGUGAAAUCUUGCAUCUAUAUCUAAGAAAAUGGUUUUUUUUUUUUUUUUAGGUAAUCAAACUUUCUUUUUGGAUCAGGACAGGUCUAGUGUUUGUGUUUUCCUUUUAAGUUCUCGAUGAUAUUUAAUUGUGAUUACAAUGAUGAUGUAGGAUGGAUGUUAUGCAGCAUCGUUUGGGUAGUUUGCGCAUAUGCAGAUCGUAAUGUGUGGUGGUUCAUGUCUGAGACGAACGAGCUGUGGAGUAGUUUCAACCCGUCGGAGACCGACUUUAACCAUUUAAACCCGAUGACUAUGGUUUCUUGUCAUAAGUCUACGGUUUUGGCUUUGUUGAUUUACAAACCGAAUACCUCAGUUUGGAUUGUUAGCUUGUAUAUAAUUUGAUGGAUCGAAUUUAAAUAAGAAUUUCCCUUUUAAGUAUACACUAUAUAAGAUGAAUUCUGAAAAUUAGGUAGCUAAGCUGGUAUUAAUUAUACAAUUAUCCCUAGUUGUUAACAAACAAGGAGAAUAACAAUGAGAAGCAAGUGUAGUUUUGUUUGGGAAGAGAUUUGUUAUUCUUGCUAGGAUAAAAAUCUAGGUGUUUAAUUAUUGUAGUUAGAUUGGGAAGUAGUUAUUAAUUGGAAUUGGCAUUUGGAAUUACAUGUACAAUAAAGCAACAUUAAGAGAGGAGUAAAAGGAGGAGUUGCUAUUAACUAAGGUUGUUAUAAGCCUCCAUAUUUGUCCUCUUGGUUUUGGUUUUUUCCCAAUUCAAAGCCACAUGUAUAUAUUUUGGAUUUUCUCAUAUGCAAGAAGUCAUAUACUCUCUCAUUCUUUUAAUGGAGAUAUCAAUAGAAGAUUAUGAAAUUUAUUGCAAUGUUAUUCCAGUUGACGACAUUUCUGAACCAGAGGAUAAUGCUUCCAUCUCCAGCAAUAUGUUCUCCAUCAAGGUCAUAGCCACCUUCAUGCCUCACCUCGAUUCAGCAAUGGAGGAAGAAGAAGAUGUCGAUGAUGAUGAUGAAAGUGAAUCAAAUUCACUUCUGCUUUAUGCCAACUCGGAAUGUGACACUAGCCAAAGCACAUUCCUAGUUGAACGCAACCGUUUCUUGCAUGAAGAAACAUCCAGGUCUACUGUACGUCAAAUUCUUCUUUAUAUGAAUGUGCCUAUUCAGGAAAUCUUGAUAGACCAAAUACUGAACAAUGUUCGUCAAAUAGCAAGUGAUCAUGAUAAAUACAAUAUGGGUCGUCACAAGGUUCUGCAUUUGGUAAUUAACAUUGAAGUUCCACCAAUAAUUUUUGAGGCUGAGAGUGAUGAUGAUGAUCCAGGUUUAUGCCUAGCACCCGCAACUAAAUCAUCCAUUGAAGCUUUGGAGAUGGUGAAAGUUGAAGAGUCUAUAAAUCAACACUGCCCUAUUUGCUUGGAGGAGAUUUCGAUUGGUUCAGAAGCAAUUUGCAUGCCAUGUUCACAUCUUUAUCACUAUCGUUGCAUCUGUAAUUGGCUACAAAGGAGCAGAGUUUGUCCAUUGUGUAGGUUUCAGAUUGCUUAAUUGGUAUCAAUUUAUAGCAAUUCUAUGUACAGGUUCAAUUUAUUCAUUUAAUUUCAAUAGGAUGCCCCGUAAGACUUUGAUCUUUUUUGGGUUUGUUUCAUGAUGGAAAUAUGAGAGAAUUUGGAGGAGUGUGAUUUAGGUUUUGGAAAAAUUACUAUUUACUCCGUGUAUUUCUA
rnacentral:misc_RNA from 1 species